rfam:Gorilla gorilla gorilla genomic chromosome, chr13, whole genome shotgun sequence
GUCUAUGGCCAUACCACCCUGAACACGCCCAGUCUUUUCUGAUCUUGGAAGCUAAGCAGGGCCGGGCCUGAUUAGUACUUGGAUGGGAAAAGGCAAAAGAAGUAGGGUUGAAGCGUUUUCU